AACCCGUGAUGCGAACAUAUAUUCAUCAGGUCCUUGAAUCUCUCCCAAAAAUCUUGGAAUGUCUUGUCAUCUUUCUGCAUGAACUAACUAAUAUGCUUCUGCGGGU